UACGUAGGUGGCAAGCGUUGUCCGGAUUUACUGGGUGUAAAGGGAGCGUAGACGGCGAUGCAAGUCUGAAGUGAAAACCCAGGGCUCAACCCUGGGACUGCUUUGGAAACUGUGUUGCUAGAGUGCUGGAGAGGUAAGUGGAAUUCCUAGUGUAGCGGUGAAAUGCGUAGAUAUUAGGAGGAACACCAGUGGCGAAGGCGGCUUACUGGACAGUAACUGACGUUGAGGCUCGAAAGCGUGGGGAGCAAACAGG
rnacentral:rRNA from 1 species